rnacentral:rRNA from 1 species
CCUACGGGAGGCAGCAGUGGGGAAUAUUGCACAAUGGGCGAAAGCCUGAUGCAGCAACGCCGCGUGAGUGAGGAAGUUUUUCGGUAUGUAAAGCUCUAUUAGUAGGGAAUAGAAUACGUGGUAGUUGAUAUAGAAGCCUCGACUAAAUAUGAGCCAGCAGCCGCGGUAAUACGUAGGGGGCAAGCGUUAUCCGGAUUUACUGGGUAUAAGGGGAGCGUAGACGGUUAGGCAAGUCAGAGGUGAACGCCCAAGGCUCAACCAUGGUGCCGCUUUUGAAACUGGCAAACUAGAGUACGGGAGAGGUAAGAGGAAUUCCAGGUGUAGCGGUGAAAUGCGUAGAUAUUAGGAGGAACACCAGUGGCGAAGGCGACUUGCUGGACCGAAACUGACGUUGAGGCGCGAAAGCGUGGGGAUCAAACAGGAUUAGAUACCCUAGUAGUC